GUUCAGCUUGUUGGUCACUUGAGGAACACCAGAGGCAACACAGAAAUAGUUGUGUUUAGUAUGAGGCCUGUUAGAAAUUUUAACGAGGUUACCCACCAUCAUGUAGAGUGCAUUCACCAGCAUAUAGUACACCAGAAGUUACAGAAAGGCGAGUCCCUUCCUCAGAGUCAGACAAUGGACGCAUCACAUAGCACCCCGGUCAAAGUUGAAACCAAU